CGACAACGCAGCCUGACCUAGCUAGGAACGCCUCCACUGCCUGCCGCCCUCCGCCGCCAACCGGGAUCUUCCGCCGCCGCCCGCCGGCCGACUGGAGCUUGGUCGCGGCCUUCCCAUCCCUCUGACACCAUCCGUCCAGGUCCAGUGGAUCGCCGUCUUCCCCUCCCUGGCUGGAGCUUGGCCGCCGGUCACCGCUACGAUGCACCGGUUGCCGACUUGCCGCUGCCAUUGCCACUGGCUGGAGCUCGGCAGGUGAGGGUGAGACGCCGCCGAUCAAGAGGCCGUCGCCGGUGACCGCUCGUCCUGAAAGUAUGGAGCCGUGGUAGGAUGUGAGUUAAAUCCAUGUAAAACCGAUGAACAGUACUCCUGCAUGUGUGCUUAAUGUAGCCAUGUUUGAUUGGUGCUGAUAAUUAAGUCACAUUCAAGCAUAUGUUCCCAGUAAGUACAUUCUGGCUGAUGUUAAUCGAUUCAUGUCCGUACCAGUUGUUCUCUUGUUGUUAGCAAGAAAGCUCCAUAAUUUGUCAUAUCACUAUCUUGUUGAAUCUCUUAUCUUUAA